UGGGGAAUAUUGCACAAUGGGGGAAACCCUGAUGCAGCGACGCCGCGUGAACGAAGAAGGUAUUCGUAUCGUAAAGUUCUGUCCUAUGGGAAGAUAAUGACAGUACCAUAGAAGAAAGCUCCGGCUAAAUACGUGCCAGCAGCCGCGGUAAUACGUAUGGAGCGAGCGUUGUCCGGAAUUAUUGGGCGUAAAGGGUACGCAGGCGGUUUAAUAAGUCGAAUGUUAAAGAUCGGGGCUCAACCCCGCAAAGCAUUGGAAACUGAUAAACUUGAGUAGUGGAGAGGAAAGUGGAAUUUCUAGUGUAGUGGUGAAAUACGUAGAUAUUAGGAGGAAUACCAGUAGCGAAGGCGACUUUCUGGACACAAACUGACGCUGAGGUACGAAAGCGUGGGGAGCAAACAGG
rnacentral:rRNA from 1 species